GGAAGAAGAUACAGAGUUCCUUUUAUUGGAUAAAAUGGUGAUGAUAAUGAUGAUGACAAUGGUCAUGGGAUGCAGAGGAGAACGUCAAAGAAGUUAGGGCCUCCCAACAAAAAUGAUUGAGAGAAGGUCCAGAAGCGAAUUCCGAAGUGAAGUCAGGGCACUCAAAGCCCGUGGUGCCGCACUUUAUACAAGCACAUAACUUUUGAUAAUAGUUAAUUCGUACUACCAUGUGGAAAUACUCUUGUAAUGGUUAAUUCAAACUACUUGAGUAUCCAUUACUAUAUACUUUUGCUAUGGUUAGUUCGAAUGGCUAGAGUGUUUAUGUAAAACCUUCAAGACAUACUCACAGUGGAUAUAAGGACCUGUGAUAUGAUGCGAUACUAGAAUGAGAGCACAGUUUAUGGGGAAUUGUGGAGCUUCCAUUAUCAUGUAACAAGAAUAAGCAUGAAUGAAUUCAGUUUACGCCAUGCCAUGUUCAUGAAAAGUUAUGUUAUUAAUAGGUUAUGUAUGAGUUUUGUUUAUUCAAGCAUGUCAUAUUCAUGAUAGUCAUGAUGUUACUAAGUUAAGUUUUUAUAAGCAAGUUCAUGUUCAUCAAGCAUAAGUUUUUAUAAGCAAGUUCGUGUUCAUCAAGCAUACAUGUCGUGUUUAUUGUCAUGCAUGUUUAUUUAUACUGUUAGUAAAUUAUAUUCUUUACUUGUUGAGAUUUUAUAAAUAUCAUUAUGGCAGUCUCAACUAUCAUCCCCUUUGGAAUGAUAGACGAUGUGUCAGGAAAUGGAGGAGCAAUGAACCCCUCACUGGACGAUGUCAAAUAGCCUAAGGAGGAGCCUCGGGAAGCUUAUGGAGUUGAUCCUCCAUUUUUUAAUAUUAUUCUAGAGCUGAUAGCUAAGCUACUAAGCGACUUGGUAUUUAAAUUAGAGUUUUGUUUGUCUGUAACUUUGGAGUCCUGUCUUCAGUGCUAUGUUAUUUUAUUUAUAAAUUGGUUGGAUGAAUGAGGCGACUUUUGGCUAUGUGAAUAUGAAAGAAAAGUGAUUAUGUUUUUAUAUUA